rnacentral:lncRNA from 1 species
UUUAGAUCUAGACUCAGUUUACACAUACCACAGACCCUGGAGAAUGUGAUUCAGUAAGGGAAAUGACUUUACUUGACCAUAGCUAACUUGUGGCAAUUAUUCUUUGCUGGUGUGAUGAUCUCAGGAUAUGCAUGGGGAACGGGAAAUCAAUCCCUUUAGAAACUUUACUUGAACGUUGUGGCCACCUCUUAUUUGCAGCCUGCCUAGAUAACUGAUGAAAAGCUCACAUGCAGGAACAGACUUGCCAUCUCCUUAACACUGUGGUCCAGGGUAGCAGAAAAGUCAAGUGAAAAAACCAACCUGCAGAAAUGAGGUCAGACAAGCCAGAGGGAACUAACUUUCCUUUUAGCACCAGGGAGCCUGCAGGCUUCCCAUCUACUGCCUGUUAUUAACAGCCAAGAAGCAAGGCAGAGGCAGUCCCUGCCCUCUCUCCAGGCUGGGAGGUGUUAAUGGAUGGGUGUGAGAGGAUGCCAUUGGGGUGGAGGUGAAAGAUGAGUGAUCUGAACACAGCCAUCAGGUUUAUUCCUGCCAGCUGCUCUGAGCCAAGUGAAGUGAUAUAAUCACAGAGCAGGCAAGCCCCAGAGAUCUGAGUAGGGGGGUGCGGAGGUGUCUAGUAGGCAGCUGUGUGCCUCCCUUAUAGGAGGGUGUUGUCAGGACUGUGAGGUUUGAGCUUUUUGGAUGGAGAAGGUGUAUCUCCAAGUCAGAGGAUGGCACCAGCUUCUCCCUUGAAACAAGCUUCCUACUGUUCCAUCCCACAGAAAAUAAGUUCAGGAAGUGUGUCACAUUUUUAGGAGGUUUUGCAGACUGUGUUUGCUGGUUAUCUUUUUUACCACGGGGGUUCAAGAUAUUCUACAUGUAAUAUGGGCUGGGUUUACUCUUCCAAUUCCACUAAACCAUCAGAAGAUCCAUACAGGGCCUUUGCUUUGGGGUUGCGAGAGGACUUGGGCAGCAGCUCCAAAAGGCUCUUUAUUAUCUCAGUGGACUUCAGAAGAGGGCCCCAUGGGGCUUCACAAGGAAACCAAAGCGAGCAUUUGGAUUUGAUGUACCAGAGGAACUAUGCAGAAAAGUGAGAGCAUCCAGAUUUCCCCAUGUUCAUGGACGCUGUCAUUUCAAGAGGGCAGUAACACUUUUGGCUAUUACUUGUCUUGCCCUUGAGUCAAAAUAAUAACGAUUCUCAGUACUCUUCAUAGUAUCAUGAAAUAUUUUAUGACUUUAAUUUCCUUAAUUGUAUUAGGGUGCAAUUCCCUGCC